rnacentral:tRNA from 1 species
CUAACUUUAGUUUAAUUAGAAUAAGGGUUUUGGGGACCUUAGGUCCAACUUGGAAGUUUGG